rnacentral:rRNA from 1 species
CUUGUACACACCGCCCGUCACACCAUGGGAGCAGGUUUCACCAGAAGUAGCUAGCCUAACCGCAAGGGGGGCGGUUACCACGGUGAGAUUCGUGACUGGGGUG